rnacentral:rRNA from 1 species
UACAGAGGUCUCAAGCGUUGUUCGGAUUCAUUGGGCGUAAAGGGUGCGUAGGUGGCGCCGUAAGUGGGGUGUGAAAUUUCGGAGCUUAACUCCGAAACUGCAUUCCAUACUGCGGUGCUUGAGGACUGGAGAGGAGACUGGAAUUUACGGUGUAGCAGUGAAAUGGCGUAGAGAUCAUGAGGAAGACCAGUGGCGAAGGCGGGUCUCUGGACAGUUCCUGACACUGAGACACGAAGGCCAGGGGAGCAAACGGGG